AAUCAAACGCAAGGGCUGGUUUCCAGUGUUGAUGACUGGCUGCUGCCACCUAAGAAAUAUGAAAUACUUAACGGAUGUGGGUUUAUAAUGGCAAAGCUUGUUCGGAAAGGAAACCUGUCAGGUGGUGUAAUAGACUCAGACUUUGUUUGAAUAUCUGUUAUUUUAAAGUGAAAUAUGUAAAACCAACUGUGCCUGAUGACAGUUUUACAAGGGGUCAAUGACAUUUAAAAGUGUCCAUGAUAAAGAAAAGGAAACAAUCUUUAAAGGAAGUUCUUAGAAAUGUACUCAGAAAAGUUUAAACUUAAUUACUCAUGUGGUGUAAUCAUCAGGUAAAAAGUAAUAACAUUAAAACAACUGUUUUGGAAUUUUGUAAUGUGUCUAAAUUAAUCAUGAAUUAUUCGUUUUUUGGGAGAGUUGCACCACAUGACAUUUUGCAACCUAAACUAACCUUGCCUAAAGUUACAUUAAAUGAUAUUUUAUGAGACUUGCUAACCUUGACACACAGUUAUGAGUCUCUCUAUGAUGUCAUUUCCUCUUUCUUUUGUUCUGCAUGUUUCUACAUGGUGCACCACAUGACUUAAUUUGGUAGGCAAACAUUUUUCAAAUAUCAAAAAGCAGUGAAGCAAUUUUGUUACAAUCUUUUUCUAAAAAAUUAUAUAAUAUACUAAUAUACUAUUAUAUAAUUAUACUAAUUCAAAGUUAAAAACAUGUUCAUCCUCAGAGAGGUGUAUUUAAGUCAUUGCAUUGAUGUAUUAUAUUUUGUAUGUAUUUUGGAAUGAACUAAUAGAUAGAACAAAAGAAAUUAGCACCAUGACAUCAUCCAUCUCCCACAACCAAGGGCUAAAUUAAUCACAACCACACUUCAAACACUUAUUUCCAAUGUAAAUGCUUUCUUUCAUCCUUGCUUGGUGCUCAUACUAGACACAUUGCUAUUGUCACAUGCAGCCUCUUAAAUUAUAGCUGACGCUAAUGUCUUUAUCUAUCCUGUAUGGCACUAAUGCGACCUGACGGUUUAAAGUCUAACGUGAGAGCUUGUAUGUAAACUUUGAAUCCACUAUAGCCUCAGCCUAUUGUUACUGCUGUUGCAAAGCAUUAUGGAAAAACAACACAAACCCUCAUUCAUAAAGCCUGAGGCUCCUCUCCCAGUAAAAGACUAUGGGUCUGUUACUGACGCUGAGUGCAUGUGACAUACGCACACGCAUUGAUAAAGCUGGCUGCUCAAGCCUGAAAGAAGGAAGAGCUGAAUUGAGGGGGGAUGUGAUCAUGGCUGCCGUAGAUUACAGCUGGGUUGUACUGGCUGAAGAGAACAGGGCUGGGCAUUAAGACG